GAAACCGUUCAGGGGUAAACCUGAGAAACCCAAAAGAUCGAAUGGGGAGAUUCAUCGUCAGCGGCCUCGGCCUCACGGCGGCGCGCGAUGCCACGCGCGCGGAUCCUCCGUGGUUCGCGUCGCGAUGGCACGCCGCCGUCGACGAACGUCCGGGGUCGUAGUCGUGCACUUCUCCCCUAGUAGAACGUCGCGACCCGUUGAGUGUCGGUCUACGGCCCGAGCGGUCGCCUGUCACGAGCGCGAAAGCGCACGCGUCAGACCCUCGGUAGCCCGGCCGGCUGCUCGGCGGUACUCGCACGGUAUCGGGCCGCAACCAUUCCAUUUGAAUUUAUGCGUCGGGCCCGCCGCAAGCCUAGGUCAGCUUCAACCCGGAGGUCACGGACGUAGCGCCGUCCCCGGGGCUGUCCGGCUGUUGGUCGGCGGUGUCCUCGGACUGGCCAAGCUCUCGAAAUACCGGUCGGCGACGCUACUGCUUUGGGUACUCUCAGGACCCGUCUUGAAACACGGACCAAGGAGUCUAACAUGUACGCGAGUCAUUGGGAUGUAAAAACCUAAAGGCGAAAUGAAAGUGAAGGUCGUACCUUAGCGUCGACCGAGGGAGGAUGGGCCGCGUUACGAUGCGGCUCCGCACUCCCGGGGCGUCUCGUUCUCAUUGCGAGAAGAGGCGCACCCAGAGCGUACACGUUGGGACCCGAAAGAUGGUGAACUAUGCCUGGUCAGGACGAAGUCAGGGGAAACCCUGAUGGAGGUCCGUAGCGAUUCUGACGUGCAAAUCGAUCGUCGGAACUGGGUAUAGGGGCGAAAGACUAAUCGAACCAUCUAGUAGCUGGUUCCCUCCGAAGUUUCCCUCAGGAUAGCUGGCACUCGCUCGUUCUCUCGGGAACGCAUCUGAGUCUCAUCUGGUAAAGCGAAUGAUUAGAGGCCUUGGGGCCGAAACGACCUCAACCUAUUCUCAAACUUUAAAUGGGUGAGAUCUCUGGCUUGCUUGAAUUGUGAAGCCAUGAGAUAUCGGAUCAGAGUUGCCAAGUGGGCCAAUUUUGGUAAGCAGAACUGGCGCUGUGGGAUGAACCAAACGCGGAGUUAAGGCGCCUAAGUCGACGCUUAUGGGAUACCAUGAAAGGCGUUGGUUGCUUAAGACAGCAGGACGGUGGCCAUGGAAGUCKGAA
rnacentral:rRNA from 1 species